UACGAAGGGGGCUAGCGUUGCUCGGAAUCACUGGGCGUAAAGCGCACGUAGGCGGGUUCUUAAGUCAGGGGUGAAAUCCUGGAGCUCAACUCCAGAACUGCCUUUGAUACUGGGAAUCUCGAGUCCGGGAGAGGUGAGUGGAACUGCGAGUGUAGAGGUGAAAUUCGUAGAUAUUCGCAAGAACACCAGUGGCGAAGGCGGCUCACUGGCCCGGUACUGACGCUGAGGUGCGAAAGCGUGGGGGAGCAAACAGGG
rnacentral:rRNA from 1 species